GAUGAAGAACGUAGCGAAAUGCGAUACGUAGUGUGAAUUGCAGAAUUCCGUGAACCAUCAAAUCUUUGAACGCAUAUUGCGCUCGAGGCUUCGGCCGAGAGCAUGUCUGCCUCAGCGUCGGUAUUACCCCUCGUUUCUCAACCCCUGGUUGAUGCCUGCCUGCCUUUGCAGUUGGCUAGAAGCGGAUCUGGCUUUCCCAAUUGCCUUUGGUAGUUGGGUCAGCUGAAGCACAGAGGCUUGAGCAAGGACCCUUAUUGGGCUUCAACUGGAUAGGUAGAACUGGUCUUAGGACCAACUACACGAAGUUGUUGCUUGUGGUCUUUGUCUGGAGGCCAGCAGGAAACCUUUAUACCUUCGACCUGAGCUCAGGCAAGAUUACCCGCUGAACUUAAGCAUAUCAAUAAGCGGAGGA
rnacentral:misc_RNA from 1 species